rnacentral:lncRNA from 1 species
UCCUAUUCACAGUAAACCUUGUUGUCAGCACGCACAUGUGGAAAGGUAGCAAGAGGGCUUGGCACUUGUCCCCUGGCCAAGGGUACAUUCUCUCUUUCCUUCAGGUUUUCCAUCUCCCAUCUGGAGGGAACCCCAUUACCUGAAGACAAAUGCUUGUAGGUGACAGCCACCCAGCACACCCUCCUUAUUCUUCCUCAUGCCGCUAGUAAAACCCGGAGAGGUGGAUUUUCUGUAGAUUCCGCACCAACUAUCCACCCCACACCCAAAGCCCGGAGGCUGAGGGAGUGGUGGCAGACGGGGGUUGCGGGGGGGGGGUAGGGAGCGAGCUCAGGUUACUGAGCAUGCGCGAGGCGUGGCGCAUGCUCCUUCUCCCCGGGUGGCGGGGUUAGAUGAGCGGCCCCAGUAGCGGCGAGGGCGGCGCGCGGGGGAGGAGGAGGAGAAGGAGGAGAAGGAGGAGGUCGCUGUCUUUGUAGUGUCCCUGAGGCCGCUGCGGAGCCUUCGUCGUAGGAAAGGGCUGUGAGCGCGCGCGCGUGUCUGCCCGCCCGGCCCGCGGGGACGAGGCGGCGGCGGUGGCGAGGAGGAGGAUGAUGUGCGCAGCGACUGCCUCCACCGCCGCGGUCUCCGCGGGGCCCGGCGGGGACGCCUUCUUCCCCGCCACCACUGUGUCUUCCUCCCCAGCGCAGGGGGCACUGUACAUGCCGGCUCCCGAGGGCUCCGUGGCCGCCGUGAGGCUGGGACUGGGGCUGGGGCUGGGGCUGCCCGCCGCGGACUCGCGGGGUCACUACCAGCUGCUGCUGUCUGGCCGGGCCCUGGCCGACCGCUAUCGGAGGAUCUACACCUCGGCGCUCAGCGACAGGGACCAGGGGGGCGGCAGCGCUGGACACCCGGCCUCCAGUCUGAAAACCUGGAGAAUACAGUAAUCAUACCAGAUAUCAAACUGCAUAGCAAUCCUUCUGCUUUCAAUAUUUACUGUAAUGUACGCCAUUGCGUUCUGGAAUGGCAGAAAAAGGAAACAUCACUGGCUGCUGUAUCUAAGAAUUCUGUGCAGAGUGGAGAAUCAGAUAGUGAUGAAGAAGAGGAAUCCAAAGAGCCCCCAAUCAAACUUCCAAAGAUUAUUGAAGUUGGACUUUGUGAAGUAUUUGAAUUGAUCAAGGAGACACGGUUUUCACAUCCAUCUCUGUGUCUGAGGAGUCUCCAAGCCCUGCUGAAUGUGCUUCAGGGUCAGCAGCCAGAAGGCCUCCAGUCAGAGCCACCCGAGGUCCUAGAGUCUCUCUUCCAGCUCCUUUUGGAAAUCACUGUUCGGAGUACUGGGAUGAAUGACAGUACAGGACAGUCCUUGACAGCACUUUCCUGUGCUUGCCUCUUUAGUCUAGUGGCUUCUUGGGGAGAAACAGGAAGGACACUUCAGGCCAUCUCUGCUAUCCUUACCAACAAUGGUAGCCAUGCUUGCCAAACUAUUCAGGUGCCAACAAUACUAAAUUCCCUGCAGAGAAGUGUACAGGCAGUUUUAGUGGGAAAAAUUCAAAUUCAGGACUGGUUUAGCAAUGGCAUUAAGAAAGCAGCUUUAAUGCACAAAUGGCCCUUAAAAGAAGUCUCUAUUGAUGAAGAUGAUCAGUGUCUACUUCAAAAUGAUGGAUAUUUUCUUUAUCUGUUAUGCAAGGAUGGAUUAUACAAAAUAGGCUCUGGAUACAGUGGAACAGUUAGGGGCCAUAUAUAUAAUUCUACAUCCCGCAUCAGAAACAGAAAAGAAAAAAAGUCUUGGUUAGGGUAUGCUCAGGGUUAUUUAUUAUAUAGAGAUGUGAAUAACCACAGCAUGACAGCCAUAAGAAUAAGCCCUGAAACACUGGAACAAGAUGGCACUGUCAUUUUACCAGGUAUGUUUCAACGAGUUGUGUUGUUUUCUUCGCAAGUGAUUUUUAGAAAUGUGUAUGUUAGGCUUUUUAUACAUAUAAAAAAAUGAUUGUCUAGAAAUACUGCUUGCUUACAAAUGGAUUUAAAAGUCUUGA